rnacentral:rRNA from 1 species
UACGAAGGGUGCAAGCGUUAAUCGGAAUUACUGGGCGUAAAGCGUGCGUAAGUGGUUUCUUAAGUCUGCUGUGAAAGCCCUGGGCUCAACCUGGGAAUGGCGGUGGAUACUGAGGAGCUAGAGUGCGGUAGAGGAGGGUGGAAUUCCCGGUGUAGCGGUGAAAUGCGUAGAGAUCGGGAGGAACAUCAGUGGCGAAGGCGGCCCUCUGGACCAGCACUGACGCUGAGGCACGAAAGCGUGGGGAGCAAACAGG